UGCCCGGUGGUGUAAUGGUAGCACAAAUGGUUUUGGUCCAUUUUGUCGAGGUUCGAAUCCUUGCCGGGCAGCCA
rnacentral:tRNA from 1 species